CGCCGCCCUGCAGUCGGAGCAGCAGCAGCUGCGCACGCACGGCCAGCUUUAUGAUAUUGGAUUUGGCCAGAAGAUGUACCUGAGGUGUGAGGGUGAAGGAUCUCCAACAGUGGUGCUGGACGGACCGGCCGGCGCCUCCUCGGACGUCUGGCUGGCGGUGCUGCCCCACCUCAGUCGUCUGACGCGUUGCUGCGUGUUCGACCGGGCCGGCCUCGGCUUCAGCGACAGGUCAGCGGCCACGCGAUCACGCG